rnacentral:lncRNA from 1 species
GCUCCGGCUCUGGAGCUUCCCAGGUCUCUUUCCAGGGACCCUCUGCUUCCUCGGGGGUCUUGUCGGGCAGAGGGGGCCCAGGUAGGAGUCGGUGUCAGAGGGUGAGAGACAGGGGAGAGUGACUGUGUCUUAAUAAAGGGACUAAAAACCUGAUGGAGGGAAUGACAGUGACACACAGCGCGCUUGCUGGAGAACAGCAGAGAGACACCCAGGCCCAGAGCCGGGCCGCUGUGAGCAUGAGGCUAAAACAGGGUCACCAAGCUUCCUGUGGCACAGGAGGCCACAGCCCGGUGGGGGAGCGGGUUUCUGAAGACCAGCUAACCACGGGGGGAAAGUCCCACCAGAGAGCAGGUAUGUCAUAUAUCCGCCUCCCACGGGGGACCUGGAGCAAAAGGCAGGAACGGAAAGUUAAUGGACAAAGACACUCGUGACUUAGGGCAGGGGAGGGCCCAAGACCUUCAAAACCCCAACUAUACAGGCAAAGCCAAAUUGUUCUGUCACAUUAAAAGAAAGCAUCUUUCUUUAAUGAAGGACACCACGGACAAAGUUAAUAAGAGAAGUGACAGGUAUUUGCAAUCUCUAAAGUCAACAAGGGACUUAAAAUCUAGACCCUACGAAGGAGUCCUGCAAAUCACCCAAACAACGAAACAAGCCAGUGGUGUCAUGAUGCCAGCGGCUUGGGAGGCUGAGGCAGGAGGAUCGGAGGUUCUAACUUGCCUCAGCAAGUUAGCCAGGAGAGGGAGACCCUAAGCAACUCAGGGAGACCCUGUCUCUAAAUAAAAGAGGGCUGGGGAUGGGGCUCACUGUUAAAAGUCCCCCUGGGUUCAGUCCCCAGUACCGACCAACCAACCAACCAACCAGCCAAAACAAAAACGAAAAUAAAACAGGAGCCCCAGUAGAAAGAUGGGCGGGGGGGUGUGCUGGCAGUUAGACUUCUGCACAACAAGCCUGAGAAGAGAAUUCAGACUCAUUAGUAAUCAGACAAAUGCAAAUUUAAAUACACCGAGAUGUUACUUUGCAUAUGUUAGACUGUCAAAAUUUAGAUAUCUGGGUAACAGCUAACGUUAGCAGAGACUGAGCUGCAGGGACUCCUGAGCCUGUGGAGAGACGCAGACCGUCAAGGGACGCUGGGUGAGCUGAGCUAAGUGUGGACACAUCUCCUAAGGCAUCAGUUCCAAACCCGCAGGAAAUACUUCUGAAAGCCGUCGGCUGGUCCAUGGCAGACGUGUAGGAGGGGCUGUGCAGGUGUGUCUGUGGGUCUGGAGCUGAAGGUCCUCUGCGUGGUCUUACGAGGGUGGACAGUGAAGAGGGGACAUAUCAUCAUGGACAACUGUGCAGCCACUGGGAACAGUGGAUGGCCGUAGUCCCAGCAACACGGACAGGUCUUGGAGGAAAAUAAGCCAUAGCCCGAGAGCUGCGGCACACACUGUGUCCAUAGGUUGACACAGGCUCAAAAUACGACAAGCACACCUCUCCAGGACUCACCCGACCAACAGGACGCGGCCAGUGCUGGACAAGUGUUGUCUGUGGGGAAGGCGGUGGGAGGGGAGGGGAGAUGAAAGGGAAAAAAUAAAUGAAUAGAACAACAGAAGAAAAAAAAAAACCCCACGUGUCAAGUUUCUCUCCAGGCUCCUGGCCUUGGCCAGAGAGGAAUGUAGUUCCAUGAGGACGGGACCCUGUCCAUUUCUUCACCCUCAAUUCCCAGCACUGAAGCCCAUGCCAGGCCCAUAUGGACGCUCAGGAAAUGUUCGGGUGAUUCCAUGAGACAACACAUGAGUUGAUGGGCAGAGGGCUUUGCAGAGGCAGCGCUGGUAUUUGUCUGGCCCGGUGAUUUGGAGUCGGGUGGCAAGAUUUCCCUCCUAGCUGCGCCAGACACUGCCAGCAAGAUGAUGCCACCUCUGAGCUUCAGUGUCCUCAUCUGGAAGCCACCUCAUCUGCUUGGAGCCUCCAGGGGCUAUUUGUAGUCGAUGCCCAGCAAACUUCCAUGCCCACACCUUGGCUCCGUGGAGUGAGGAAGGCAGGCACUUCUGGUGACAUUUAGGUGGACCUGGGUGGCUAUAUGCUGCGGUGGUCUGGGUACUUCACCAUCCCCAAGUAAUUUUUCCCUCUAGACAGGGAGGCUUUGUUCUCUGCAGCCUCCUGUGGAAAUGCUCAGAUCUCCGGGAGGGGGUCACCUUCAGCCGUCUGGCUCAGUGGAUGGGGACAGUUGAGAGCCACACCUUACCCUGGGAAUGCCA